ACUGGCAUCAUAUCAGUGCAUCGGUUAUUUAAUCUAAAUGGUUUUCUUUUCACUUCUAAUGAGUUUUUGGCAUAUUAUAAGAUUCCUGUAACACCAGGGGACUAUGCAAAAAUUUUUGGUACAAUAUCUCCUAAUGCCUAUAUGCUGUUUAGACAUAAGAAAAGAAUUAACAUUCAUCAAUGAUCCCCAGCUACUUUAAUACGUUCUUAUGUGUAGUGCAACUGCCAUCCAAGCAGAAAAUCCCACCAUGGCAUCCUGUCUUUCAUGACUGAGUCCCACCCAAAUGGCUCCAUGGUAGCAGGAUGAUGGUGUGAUGUGAGAAAUUGCUGUUUCCUUUUCUUGCAAUAAAAAAAGUGUAGUCCACGUCUUAUAUCUGCCUGAAGGUCUUCAUGCACUACUGGUCCUAUCACCGAAUUAAUCAGCACUGCGCAUUUCAUUCUGUGUAAACUGAUACCUUUCUUGGAAAUGUCUUCCACAACUCUUCCGAAAUGAUCAGCAGUUAUUAAGGUGCUUGAGUGGCGAGCAACGUGAGCAGCCUGCUUCAACUCUGCUUAUUUUACUGCAGGUUUUAUUCUGGGUAAGAGAACUGAACCCCAAAUUGGACUAAUCAGCUGUGAGCAAAAUGAUAUAAAUCUGACUCAUCAAAGUUAACCCAUUAAUGUUUGUAGACAU